rnacentral:rRNA from 1 species
UCGAGGAUCUUUCGCAAUGGGCGCAAGCCUGACGAAGCGACGCUGCGUGAGCGAUGAAGGCCUUCGGGUCGUAAAGCUCUUUCGCGCAAGAACAAGGAAGGGAUGUGAAUAACAUUCCGACUUGAGGGUACUGCGUAAAGAAGCACCGGCUAACUCCGUGCCAGCAGCUGCGGUAAUACGGAGAGUGCAAGCAUUAAUCGGAAUGAUUGGGCGUAAAGGGCGCGUAGGCGGGGAAGCAAGUCAGAUGUGAAAUUCCGAAGCUCAACUUCGGAGCUGCAUUUGAAACUAUUUUCCUAGAGGAUUGACGGAGAAAACGGAAUUCCACGUGUAGCGGUGAAAUGCGUAGAUAUGUGGAAGAACACCGGUGGCGAAAGCGGUUUUCUAGUUUAUACCUGACGCUGAGGCGCGAGAGCAAGGGGAGCAAACAGGAUUAGAUACCCCCGUAGUCC